GACGAACGCUGGCGGCGUGCUUAACACAUGCAAGUCGAGGGGGCUCAGCAAUGGGUCACCGGCGAACGGGUGCGUAACACGUGAGCUACCUACCGAGUUGUGGGGAAUAGCCGGCCCAACGGCCGGGUAAUACCGCAUACGCUCUCUUUGGGGCAUCCUGAGGAGAGGAAACGCUUGCGGCAAUUCGAGGGGCUCGCGGCCUAUCAGCUAGUUGGUGAGGUAACGGCUCACCAAGGCGAUGACGGGUAGCUGGUCUGAGAGGAUGACCAGCCACAUUGGGACUGAGAAACGGCCCAGACUCCUACGGGAGGCAGCAGUGGGGAAUCUUGCGCAAUGGGCGAAAGCCUGACGCAGCGACGCCGCGUGGGGGAGGAAGGUCUUC
rnacentral:rRNA from 1 species